CCAUUAUAGGCUACAAGCCAACUGCAGGUAAGUGCUCCUGAAGAGUAAACUGGGAUGACAAAUAAUUAAACCCACUACAUAUACCAUGAUUAACAAUGCAGGUCUAUUUAGCAUAGUUUAAUUGAGGAACAGGAGCGAAAGUCAAUUGGGAGCUAUCUUAAACUUAUGCUAGGCAAUAUCACAAACAUCCAAUGUGGUAGAGUAUAAGCCAAAUGAAGGCAACUGUUAUCAUUGAUCAACAGUUCCAGGCAAAACAAAAGCUGAGAUGAAGAUCGAAAGGAAAAAACAAGCAAAUAGACAAAGUGACCAAAGAAAAAAAAGAAAGGGGGACAUCACAAUACCUUACUGCAAGAAAACUGAGUAGACAAUGAGUCACUAACGUAAGGUACUCUGGGCAGAAAAAAAUAUCGGAACAAUUAGUUAAUCUCAUGUUAGCGACUCAUUAGUUAAUCUCGACAAAAAAAAAUCUAAAGAUAGUCAGUAAGCGCGAGCGUUCUGGCGUAGCUUCAGACUGAGCUUCCAGGUUUGCUACGUGGUCAGCACGGAGGAGUUUAUCAUGUGUUUUUUCCCUGAGAUGCUGAUCCAGCUGGCCUUGCGAUCGUCGACGGUGUUGUUUGCUUAGCAUGAAACAUUUAGAAAAACAAGGUUCAAAUCAGGGCAAAAUAAACAAGGCAAUAAUCUUUGGAGACAAAAAGGAAAUCAUAAUCAUCAGACAAAUCUACCACAAAUAAGGCAAUAAUCUUUGGAGACAAAAAGAAAAUCAUAAUCAUUAGACAAAUCUACCACAAAUGCACGUUCACCAGGUAACAAAUCUAAAGAGAUAAAUCUGACUAAACACUAAAGUUCAAUUGAUUGCUUAUCAUGAAACAUUUAGAACCAAGGUUCAGAUUUAUAUGGGAGUAAACAAGAUAAUAAACUGUACAAAAAAUAUUUAAAAAUCAGUAGGCAAAUCUACUGCAACUGCUCGCGUACAAGAUUACAAAUUAGAAGGAAUAAAUCUUUGACUGUAGAAAAUUAAACACUAAAGUUCAAGCACAAAUAGGGAAGGAGAAGUAGCCAUAGUCAUCCGUACCUGGUGGCUAGGCUUUUGAGCCGCAAGAGAGAGGGGAGGAUGAGGGAUGACCUGAGGACGAAACCCUAGGUCGGCGACGCUGCCGCGGCAUUUGCCGGCCGUCCACGUCGACGCACCGCUCCGGGGGAGCCCGCGCCUGCGCGUCGCGCUGCCCAUGCCGGUGGCCAUCUAGUGCAUCGCCUCGUCGGAAGCCGGCCACACUCGGGCCUGCCCAGUGAGCCGUCGCGUCGUGAGAGAAGGAGAGGGAGAGGGAGAGGGAAAGGAAGGGGAGGGUGGGGAGGCACGGCGCGGCGCUCCGAGGUGGCGGCGAGAGGAGCAGAGGGACCGAUGGAGACCGACGAAGAAGACAUGUUCUGAGGUCGGGGUUCUGAGGUCGGGCUUCUGGAGAGGUCGGGAGGAAGAGAGAGGGAGGGGAAGGGAAGAGACGGGAGAAGAUAUUUUUUACCAUGCACUGUAUAUAUCCGGGGUGGGGGGCUGAUUCUAGAGCGUUGAUCGUGGAAUCAAACGACCAAGGAAAUUUUGGGAGACAUGGCCUAGCUCCCUGGGCAGCCCUAAUCAUCAGACAAAUCUACCACAAAUGAGGCAAUAAUCUUUGGAGACAAAAAGGAAAUCAUAAUCAUUAGACAAAUCUACCACAAAUGCAUGUUCACCAGGUAACAAAUCUAAAGAGAUAAAUCUAACUAAACACUAAAGUUCAAUUGAUUGCUUAUCAUGAAACAUUUAGAACCAAGGUUCAGAUUUAUAUGGGAGUAAACAAGAUAAUAAACUGUACAAAAAAUAUCUGAAAAUCAGUAGGCAAAUCUACUGCAACUGCACGCGUACAAGAUUACAAAUUAGAAGGAAUAAAUCUUUGACUGUAGAAAAUUAAACACUAAAGUUCAAGCACAAAUAGGGAAGGAGAAGUAGCCAUAGUCAUCCGUACCUGGUGGCUAGGCUUUUGAGCCGCAGGAGAGAGGGGAGGAUGAGGGAUGACCUGAGGACGAAACCCUAGGUCGGCGACGCUGCCGCGGCAUUUGCCGGCCGUCCACGUCGACGCACCGCUCCGGGGGAGCCCGCGCCUGCGCGUCGCGCUGCCCAUGCCGGUGGCCAUCCAGUGCAUCGCCUCGUCAGAAUCCGGCCACACUCGGGAGCUGCCCAGUGAGCCGUCGCAUCGUGAGAGAAGGAGAGGGAAAGGAAGGGGAGGGUGGGGAGGCACGGCGCGGCGCUCCGAGGUGGCGGCGAGAGGAGCGGAGGGACCGAUGGAGACCGACGAAGAAGACGCAUUCUGAGGUCGGGGUUCUGAGGUCGGGCUUCUGGAGAGGUCGGGAGGAAGAGAGAGGGAGGGGAAGGGAAGA
rnacentral:lncRNA from 1 species